UGAGUAAAUAAUCAAGCGCAAAAGGGCAUUUGGUGGAUGCCUUGGCACUGAGAGGCGAUGAAGGACGUAGUACGCUGCGAAAAGCUGUGGGGAGGUGCGAACACCCUUUGAUCCACAGAUAUCCGAAUGGGAAAACCCACCGCAUGUGCGGUAUCGUAUACUGAAUACAUAGGUAUACGAGGCAAACCUGGGGAACUGAAACAUCUAAGUACCCAGAGGAAAGGACAUCAACCGAGACUCCGUUAGUAGUGGCGAGCGAACGCGGACCAGGCCAGUGGUUAGUGAUUAAGAACAAGAACGCAAUGGAAAGUGCGGCCAAAGAGGGUGAUAGCCCCGUACUGGUAGAAAGAUCAUUAAUCCUUGAGUAGGGCGGGACACGUGAAAUCCUGUCUGAACAUGGGGGGACCACCCUCCAAGCCUAAGUACUCCUCAGUGACCGAUAGUGAACAAGUACCGUGAGGGAAAGGUGAAAAGAACCCCGAGUAGGGGAGUGAAAUAGACCUGAAACCGAAUGCCUACAAGCAGUCGGAGCGGACUUAAGGGUAACCUUAAGAAGCCGUGACGGCGUACCUUUUGCAUAAUGGGUCAGCGAGUUAGUGUCUGUAGCAAGCUUAAGCCGAUAGGUGUAGGCGCAGGGAAACCGAGUCUGAAUAGGGCGACAUAGUUACAGGCAUUAGACCCGAAACCGAGUGAUCUAGCCAUGGGCAGGCUGAAGGUGCGGUAACACGUACUGGAGGGCCGAACCCACCUCUGUUGCAAAAGAGGGGGAUGACCUGUGGCUAGGGGUGAAAGGCCAAUCAAACUCGGAAAUAGCUGGUUCUCCGCGAAA
rnacentral:rRNA from 1 species